GCAUUGGUGGCUCAGCGGUAGAGCUCUCGCCUGCCACGCUGGAGGCCCGGGUUCGUUUCCCAGCCACUGGG
rnacentral:tRNA from 1 species